rnacentral:rRNA from 1 species
UACGUAGGGGGCAAGCGUUGUCCGGAAUCAUUGGGCGUAAAGCGCGCGUAGGCGGCCCGGUAAGUCCGCUGUGAAAGUCCAGGGCUCAACCCUGGAACGCCGGUGGAUACUGUCGGGCUAGAGUCCGGAAGAGGCGAGUGGAAUUCCUGGUGUAGCGGUGGAAUGCGCAGAUAUCAGGAGGAACACCGAUGGCGAAGGCAGCUCGCUGGGACGGUACUGACGCUGAGGCGCGAAAGCGUGGGGAGCGAACAGG